rnacentral:tRNA from 1 species
AGCGGUGUUGCGAAGUGGUUAACGCGCAUGGCUUUGACCCAUGUAUUCGAAGGUUCGAACCCUUCCACCGCUGCCA